rnacentral:rRNA from 1 species
UGCCAGCCGCCGCGGUAAUACGAAGGGCCCGAGCGUUGCGCGGAAUCACUGGGCUUAAAGCGUGCGCAGGCGGAUAUGCAAGUACCUUGUGAAAUCCCACGGCUCAACCGUGGAACUGCUUGGUAUACUGUGUAUCUUGAGGUCGGUAGGGGCCAUCGGAACGAUAGGUGGAGCGGUGAAAUGCGUAGAUAUCUAUCGGAACGCCUAAGGCGAAGGCAGAUGGCUGGGCCGAAUCUGACGCUCAUGCACGAAAGCGUGGGGAGCGAACGGGAUUAGAUA